UACGGAGGGUGCAAGCGUUAUCUGGAUUCACUGGGUUUAAAGGGUGCGUAGGUGGGUUGGUAAGUCCGUGGUGAAAUCUCCGAGCUUAACUCGGAAACUGCCGUGGAUACUAUCAAUCUUGAAUACUGUGGAGGUAAGCGGAAUAUGUCAUGUAGCGGUGAAAUGCUUAGAUAUGACAUGGAACACCGAUAGCGGAGGCAGCUUGCUACACAGUCAUUGACACUGAGGCACGAAAGCGUGGGGAUCAAACAGG
rnacentral:rRNA from 1 species